UACCACAUCACUAUUCUACAACAGUCGUCUCAACAACCUCACAUCACACAUUCACAAUGGAGGGGGCGACUCUACAGAUUUCAAGGGAAGACACUACAUUUCGGGGAUAAAAAAUGGCUCAUCUUCUCCAUUUGGCAAAAUUUCCUCCAUCUACACAUAGUUCCACCAAACUUUACCAUAUCUGGAUCAUUUCAGUUCUUUUCACUAUGAACAGAGAUCCAUCACAGACUUUUAACAUGGAAACUACCUAAUUUCAUCACCUUUAUUCAACCAAUGUUUGGACCACAAAUUAACAAAAGCUCCUCCCGUGAACUUUCCUUGACUGCAACACCACCCUUUCUAUUUUUUUAAAGCUCUACCACCACCGUCCUUUAUCAUUUUCUUUGUCAAAAUUAUCAGUGAAUUAGAAAUCAUAAAUGGGUUGAAUAUUAAGGAUAAAUUUCGGGCUAGAUCUCUAGAUUUGAACUCUAAAAUAAGUUGUCGUUAGGGUGGGUAUUGUUUGAGUGCUAUGGUCUACGGUAUCGGUCAAGAUUUGAAAUGCAAUCGAGGUGCUAUUGUCAGAUUUGGUUUCUCGUUCAUCUCUGAGUAACGUUGUUGCUGCAUAAAGAGGUUCUUGCUUAAUCAAAAUAUGGAGAAAAUUUUGCUACACAAAAGGUCCCAAUUGACAGGUUGAGAGUCCUCCAAGUAAGCUAUCAGCUCAGUGGAAGGUGUUGGUGCACUCCAUUUGCUCUGGAGUUGCUUAUUUGGUCAGUAUGCAUUGGACACGUAUUGAUUGGUAUAUCGGGGCCAUGUCCCGGCCUUAUGAAGUUUAUGUACUCUUAGAGGCUUGUAGACAUAUGUCAUGUAUAUGAAAGAUAGUAUGGCCUUGUCGGCCUAUGUUCAGUGUACGAGUGAUCAUUUCGACCUUAUAGGCUCGUACGUCAUAUGUAUAAGUUUGUAUUAUGUGAUGGGUCGUCCUAUGUCGAGUGUUCCUUCAUGUUUCAUUCUAGUUAUCUCACGGCAGCUUUUCCGUUUUAUUUA